UGUCCCAUUGCAAGAACGGUUCCCCGCUCUCCAUUAUUUCCAUGCCUCGAUCUGCGUCUGCGAUGUGUCGACGUUAACGACAACGUAUCCGUCUAACGACUCGACAGGUCACGGCUGUCCGGAUGUAUUUGCUCAGAAAGGUGCUGUGCUGCAGACAGGCUAACAAAACACGACAUCGCUGGUACAGAAGAACCGCCUGAGACGGGCUAACAGGAUACUGCUCAUCUGAGAGGAGCAGAACCACCUGCUGGGCCUGAUAUCCAACAAAUGGCAGCUGUAAUAUAGAGACGAAGAAAUAACCAAACAGGAGAAGAUGAAGACAGGCCACAUCUCUUCCUGUAAACUGGGCCCAGCAUCAAAGUUGAUCUCUACAAAAACACACAUGUGCUGAGUUCUCCUUACCAGCCGUGCCAGACUCGAGCCUCUGCACCACGCAACUUGACCCUGUAUCUGGUGGUUUGUGAAGCUGGUUGGAGGAGCUACACUAGUGCUGGAGAAGUG